rnacentral:rRNA from 1 species
UACAGAGGGUGCGAGCGUUGUUCGGAAUUAUUGGUCGUAAAGCGCUUGUAGGCGGCACGUCAAGUCGCGUGUGAAAUCCCCAGGCUUAACCUGGGAAGUGCGCGCGAAACUGACGAGCUUGAGUGCCGGAGAGGGUCGCGGAAUUCCCGGUGUAGAGGUGAAAUUCGUAGAUAUCGGGAGGAACACCAGUGGCGAAGGCAGCCCCCUGGGCUGACACUGACGCUCAGGCACGAAAGCGUGGGGAGCAAACAGG